rnacentral:piRNA from 1 species
UGUCGAACCGAUAAAAUCGAA